rnacentral:rRNA from 1 species
CCUGGUGGCUGCAGUGAGGAAUAUUGGUCAAUGGGCGGGAGCCUGAACCAGCCAAGUCGCGUGAGGGACGACGGUCCUAUGGAUUGUAAACCUCUUUUGUCGGGGAACAAAGGCGCCCACGGGUGGGCGGAUGAGUGUACCCGAAGAAAAAGCAUCUGCUAACUCCGUGCCAGCAGCCGCGGUAAUACGGAGGAUGCGAGCGUUAUCCGGAUUUAUUGGGUUUAAAGGGAGCGUAGGCCGGCUUUUAAGUCAGCUGUGAAAGUCCGCGGCUCAACCGUGGAAUUGCAGUUGACACUGGAGGCCUUGAGAUCACACAGGGAUGCCGGAAUUCAUGGUGUAGCGGUGAAAUGCUUAGAUAUCAUGAAGAACUCCGAUCGCGAAGGCAAGUGUCCGGGGUGCAACUGACGCUGAGGCUCGAAAGUGCGGGUAUCAAACAGGAUUAGAUACCCGGGUAGUC